AUACUUUGGUUUCUCUUCAGAUUGUAUAAAUCUUUCGCCUUUUACUAAAGAUUUCCGUGGAGAGGAACAUUUAUGAGUUUUGUAAGCUUUUUGGAUUAAGAUUUGGUGGAACAUUC